rnacentral:rRNA from 1 species
UACAGAGGGUGCGAGCGGUGUCCGGAAUCAUUGGGCGUAAAGGGUGCGUAGGUGGCGUGGUAAGUCUGGUGUGAAAUCCCGGGGCUCAACCCCGGAACUGCACUGGAUACUGCCAUGCUUGAGUACUGGAGAGGAGAUUGGAAUUUACGGUGUAGCAGUGAAAUGCGUAGAUAUCGUAAGGAAGACCAGUGGCGAAGGCGAAUCUCUGGACAGUUACUGACACUGAGGCACGAAGGCCAGGGGAGCAAACGGG